GUACAACCGUUGAAGGAAAAAGUAAUUUGGAAGCAGUAGCAAAGAGAGAAGUAGCCAUUGGCUGAAAGCUAUUUCCUAUACGCUCCAAAUGAAAGACAUUCUGGAGGUUUUAUAUCGAAUAUAGUAGGUAUAAACGUGUUGCAGGCGUUAUCUGUGAAAGCGGAUGUUCUAACUUUUGAACAUCAACUAGGGUGGCAACGCGGGUAAACUCCCGUCCCUUCU
rnacentral:ncRNA from 1 species